CCCUUAGAUGUUCUGGGCCGCACGCGCGCUACACUGAUGCAUUCAACGAGCCUAGCCUUGACCGAGAGGUCCGGGUAAUCUUUGAGACUGCAUCGUGAUGGGGCUAGAUUAUUGCAAUUAUUAAUCUUCAACGAGGAAUGCCUAGUAAGCGUGAUUCAUCAAAUCGCGUUGAUUACGUCCCUGCCCUUUGUACACACCGCCCGUCGCUCCUACCGAUUGAGUGUGUUGGUGAGGAGUUUGGAUUGGCCUCGGAAGGUGGUUCGCCACCGUCCGUAGCUGAGAAGUUCUCCAAACCGCCCCACUUAGAGGAAGGAGAAGUCGUAACA
rnacentral:rRNA from 1 species